rnacentral:rRNA from 1 species
UACAGGGGGUGCAAACGUUGCUCGGAAUUAUUGGGCGUAAAGCGCGCGUAGGCGGCCGCUUAAGUCGGAUGUGAAAGCCCCUGGCUCAACUGGGGAAGUGCACCCGAAACUGAGUGGCUUGAGUACUAAAGAGGGUCGCGGAAUUCCCGGUGUAGAGGUGAAAUUCGUAGAUAUCGGGAGGAACACCGGUGGCGAAGGCGGCGACCUGGGUAGAUACUGACGCUGAGGCGCGAAAGCGUGGGGAUCGAACAGG